CUCAGUGGGCUUCCUCAGCAGGCUCAUGGGCAGAGGCUUUGUCUGUCUGUCAGGAAUCUCCACACUGAGAGGGCAUCUUACUCACGUGGUGUACACUGUGUUCAGCCAGGCCCUCUAAGAAACAGACACCAAGAUGAGGAAACCGAUGCAAGACAUCAAGCAGCUUCUGAGGUCGCGUGUUUGGAAGCCCAGCCCUCAAAGUGGAUGAACUUGCCCUAGGAGGAAGUUAAGCACCGUUGUCAUCAACACGGCCAUCAAUACCAUCAAAAGACAUUUAUUAAGCACCUAAUUGUGCAUAGCUCUGACUUCGACUGUGAACAGAGAAUCAGCAAAACGCUUUUGAGCCUCAGGCAUGGUGUGGCUGGAGUCUGCAUUCAUCCCUCUUCGCUGCUGAGAAGUCUUGCAGAGUUGGGAUGCCCCACGGUGAGCUGUCCACUCGCCAGUGGGUGAUUUGCUGUUAGACGGGGUAAAGUGCCGGGCCAGGACGAUCCUGCUGCAGAGAGCAACACAAAGGCGUCAGGCUGCAGGCCAAGUCUAGAUCGUUCCAUUAUCCUGGGAGGGGGCGGUCACCCAUAUAUUUUCCUUAAAAUACAUACACAGAAAUAAAAUACAUAAAAAUUUG
rnacentral:lncRNA from 1 species